rnacentral:lncRNA from 1 species
AAGGGAGUUCACAGCUGUCCCUAAGGCAACUUACCCUAUUCCAGAUUGAGCUUGUGGAAUCCCCAGAUGUAGCCACUUCUCUUCCUACCACAGUCAGUAGGAGGCAGCUGGUGUUGGUAUGGGAAAGCAGGAAGGUCAGAUCCCCAGGACAAGGAGAGCCUCGGCAGGCACAAGGGGAUUAUCUGACCAGUUGCCCACCCAAGAUGGACUGGCCAUGAGCAGGACUUAAGGUUCCAUAUAGGGUGCCAUAUUUGUUAUGCCCAAAGAGGGGGGUCAUCUGCCAGCCGCAAGAUGUGCCAAUAAUCAAGAGGCAAGGUGUUGGCUUCCCUUAUGUCAACCUUGAGUGGUGCAAGUAACAUGGGGACAUCGGAGCAUCCAGUCAGGCAGACGCCCUUCUGAGCGACGGAGCAGGUGGCACAUCCGAGAAAUAGCCCUGGAUGCUGUGUCUCAUUUGGCCCUUGAAGCCUGUAGGAAAAGAAGGUUCCCUCAGUUCUCCUCACUCACCCUCAGGGGCCGCACGACCCCUCACCCCUGACCUCUCCUCCCAGAGACUUCUCUCAAGUUUUCUCCAUGUCCCACCCCUCAUGACUGAAGGCCCAAGUCCCUGGACACUGCCUGGAAGCCAUGCUGUUGUUGCUGGCCCUCCCACUCCUCUCAGGGGCUGCCUGCGGCACCCAUGGUAAGACUCAGCCCGUCCCAGCCCUUCCAGGGCCCAGCCCAGCACGCAGCCCUGGCCUCCACACCUGCCCGCUGCAGCGCUGGACCAGACGUUUGAAGCGGCGGGCUCGGGCCCAGGAGCUGUGCUGCUGCCUCCCCUCCUGCUCCCUCUCUCCUGAUACACACCAUCCUCCAGAGACGCAGGGCCCAGGCGGCUCCUACUCCUACAUCAGGGGAGGAGCGGGGGAGACCCAGGCCAUCGGGUCUUCGUGGGGAUAAUGGGCCUCAUCAAGGGGUGAGUAAGACCCGGGGCCCUGGGCUGGGUCCCCACAUGGUCCCCGAAUGUGCUGACUCCACACUGCUUCUCCGAGGACGCUUUCAAACCCCCGGAGCCCCUAGAGCAGGCCCUGCCCUUCCACCUCUGCUUCCUCCCGACCUCACCCCUGUGCCCUCACACUCAACCCCGUGGCCUGGCCUGAUGUCCCACCCAGGGCCAGGAUGCUGGAGGGAGAGGGAACGACACAGGCUGGGGGUGAGGGGAUGGGUAGCCAGUUCUGACCGAGGCUGCUGAAAAAGCCUUGAAGUUCCCAAGGACCAGCUUCACGGUGUCAGGAUGGUGCCAUCUGGAGGAUCGCCUCUCUGGAAUUUUCUGGCUGCCUUAGGUUCCCUGGCUAGUAAACGGCAGAAACCUGCUCAGGCUAGGAAGACCACCAGCGUCUCCCCCGGUUCGUCACCUGCAGCUCUGUCUCCCCCACUGCUCCUUUGCUCUGUCCUCCAGGGCUGUCUCCCCGACAGGCCCCAUCCUCACCUCGCCCACCAGCUUCUGCCUCCAGGGGCCUCUCCUUCUUCCCCAACGCCC